ensembl:lncRNA novel transcript
CGAGAUCUCUGUGCAGCCUCGUGGGAAGCCAGCCUAAAACCUGGAAACCUUAACCUCCGUCUCCUGUUGCUUCUCAGUCAGGACUUUCUUGGUUGCAAGUGAUGGAAAAUCCCACCCAUGCUGGCUUAGGGAAGGACAAGGGAGGAUUUUUCUGGCUAACCAAGGAGUUUUUGGGGAGUGUUCUGAUUCAGCUCAGGGAGGAAGUCCAUGUUUACUUCCUCAAAGGUGGCUGAGGGAUGAGGCUCUUCUUGCUGGCCCCUGAGGUCACACCAGCCCUCAGAAGAAACUGAGAAACUCCUAGUAAUUUUCGCUAAAGAAGAUGGUUCAAGGGUUGUGUGUGUUUCCUCUGCCUGCUGUAAUAAAUUACUACAAACUAA